GACGAACGCUGGCGGCGUGCUUAACACAUGCAAGUCGAACGGAAAGGCCCUGCUUUUGUGGGGUGCUCGAGUGGCGAACGGGUGAGUAACACGUGAGUAACCUGCCCUUGACUUUGGGAUAACUUCAGGAAACUGGGGCUAAUACCGGAUAUGAGCUCCUGCUGCAUGGUGGUGGUUGGAAAGUUUCGGCGGUUGGGGAUGGACUCGCGGCUUAUCAGCUUGUUGGUGGGGUAGUGGCUUACCAAGGCUUUGACGGGUAGCCGGCCUGAGAGGGUGACCGGCCACAUUGGGACUGAGAGACGGCCCAGACGCCUACGGGAGGCAGCAGUGGGGAAUAUUGCACAAUGGGCGGAAGCCUGAUGCAGCAACGCCGCGUGCGGGAUGACGGCCUUCGGGGUGUAAACCGCUUUCGCCUGUGACGAAGCGUGAGUGACGGUAAUGGGUAAAGAAGCACCGGCUAACUACGUG
rnacentral:rRNA from 1 species